CGGUCCAGACUCCUACGGGAGGCAGCAGUGGGGAAUAUUGCACAAUGGGCGCAAGCCUGAUGCAGCCAUGCCGCGUGUGUGAAGAAGGCCUUCGGGUUGUAAAGCACUUUCAGCGGGGAGGAAGGCGGUGAGGUUAAUAACCUCAUCGAUUGACGUUACCCGCAGAAGAAGCACCGGCUAACUCCGUGCCAGCAGCCGCGGUAAUACGGAGGGUGCAAGCGUUAAUCGGAAUUACUGGGCGUAAAGCGCACGCCGGC
rnacentral:rRNA from 1 species